ACAGCAGAAGAGAGCUGACUCCACAGAGUUGUCCUCUGACCUCCACGUCUGGGCCGCCGCAGGUGUGCUCGCCUGCCCACCAUAAUAAAAUGGAAAUCCUGAAGAAAAAGAGAAAGGAGAAGGAAUGCGUUUCCUGGUAAAGAAUACUUCAUGGGCCUCUGCUGGCCAUGCUUAGCUUUGCAGUCUGUGGACUCCCGAGACUCCUCUCCACACCUCCCGGAGCAGCCGAAGCCCCAAGUGUAUCCCAAGCGUUGGAAGCAAAUGGCUUGCAGCCUGAACCAGUGGAGGAUGGGGCUUCAUCCUCAAGUCCUCCAAAGUAUUAACUGCCCUGGUGGAAGGAUGCACUGGGCAUGGGUUAGUCUUUACACACUUCUUGGCCUGAGCCAAACCCCCUGCCAGGGGGUUUGUGAGCAUCUAUGCCUUCGCCACUCUUCACAGCUGCCUCUAAAUGCUGCCUCUCAUCUUGGAGCCAUGGCAGGUUAAGUUCAGACUCCCUGAUAUGUGGUGGUUCCUUGUUCUCCUGCCCAUAGGAUAUCUCAGUUUGAAACAGAGGAUUCACUCCCAAGGCGGUGUCUGGCCACCACACCCUGAGUCACAUGGAAUGAAGAAAUGGAUCUCUCUCUAGUGGCAGGUCUCUACAGGAACCACCGUCUCACUGAAACCCGAGCUUGCAUUUGGAGCCGGUAUAGCUAUGGACACAUCCUUAGGCCAGGGCUGCUCCUCUGUUUCACCGCGUCUUCUGGCUCGUCUUCUGGACCAGGCUUUUGCUUCCCUUCCCAGACCAGAGAGAGAGGGAGCGAGGGGCAGGCUGCCGCUGAGUCCUGCCAGGCUUACUUUUCUGUGUGUUGUCUUUUUGCUACAUCUUCCCAGUGACCUGUCGUUGUUCCUCUUGUGAAUUCCAGAAGCUCCUUUCCCUCUCUUUGGAAGGAUUGGUGCUUUGUACUGUUGACUUUUUUGUACCAGGUCACUUGAAGGCAGCAUCUCCUUCAUCAUCUCACCCAGAAGUCCUGCUCAUUUUUUGACUUUGGACACUUCCCCUGCCCCAUCUAAAGCCUUUGGUUUUAUUUUUAAUAUGAUCAAUGCAGGAGCAUUAGGAUAAUCUUUUCAGAUAAUUGUGCACACUGUCCAGCUCUGUUCCCAAGUUUGACAAGUGGCCAGUUGUUAAGAGAAGCUUUUUCCUUGAGAGAAGCCUUCCCGCCAGCUUGGUUCUAGAGCCACAUCAGUCCCAAAUAAACACACAGGAGGCUAUAUUAA